UUCUUUGUCAUUGGCAAUGUCGUAGCCAAUGAGGCCUAUCGGAGGUGCAAUAAUUGCUCAUUGAAAACAAGUAAUAGAAUGUCCCUAACAAUUUUGCUACUGGAAUAUCGACAGAUGUAUGUAUAGAUCACAUUAUU
rnacentral:snRNA from 1 species